UACGGAGGGUGCGAGCGUUGUCCGGAAUCACUGGGCGUAAAGCGUGCGCAGGCGGUUUUGCAAGCCGGAUGUGAAAUCCCCGGGCUCAACCUGGGAAUGGCAUUCGGGACUGCAAGGCUGGAGUGCGGCAGAGGAGACUGGAAUUCCUGGUGUAGCAGUGAAAUGCGUAGAUAUCAGGAGGAAUACCGAUGGCGAAGGCAGGUCUCUGGGCUGACACUGACGCUCAUGCACGAAAGCGUGGGGAGCAAACAGG
rnacentral:rRNA from 1 species